CCUACGGGUGACUGCAGUGGGGAAUAUUGCACAAUGGGCGCAACCCUGAUGCAGCGAUGCCGCGUGUGUGAAGAAGUCUUUCGGGAUGUAAAGUUCUUUCAGCCGGGAGGAAGGUAGCCGGUUCCUUACCCUUGAGCCUCGGCUAACUCGGCGCAAGCAGCCGCGGCAAUACGGAGGGGACAAGCGUUGUCCGGAAUUACUGGGCGUAAAGGGAACGGAGUCGGUUGGGCGAGUCAGAUGUGAAAGCCCUGGGCUCAACCCUGGUACUGCAUUGGAAACUGGGGAGCUAGAGUCCGGGAGAGGUAGGUAGAAUUCCAAGUGUAGCGGUGAAAUGCGUAGAGAUUAGGAGGAAUACCAGUGGCGAAGGCGGCUUACUGGACAGAGACUGACGUUCAGGCGCGAAAGCGUGGGGAGCAAACAGGAUUAGAUACCCCGGUAGUC
rnacentral:rRNA from 1 species